rnacentral:rRNA from 1 species
UAAGGAAUAUUGGACAAUGGAGGCAACUCUGAUCCAGCCAUGCCGCGUGAAGGAAUAAGGCCCUAUGGGUUGUAAACUUCUUUUAGACGGGACAAAACCCCUUUACGUGUAAAGGGUUGAUGGUACUGUCAGAAUAAGCAUCGGCUAACUUCGUGCCAGCAGCCGCGGUAAUACGAAGGAUGCAAGUGUUAUCCGGAAUUAUUGGGUUUAAAGGGUGCGUAGGCGGACUAAUAAGUCAGUGGUGAAAGCCUGCAGCUUAACUGCAGAAUUGCCAUUGAUACUGUUAGUCUUGAGUACAGUUGAGNUAGGCGGAAUGUGUCAUGUAGCGGUGAAAUGCUUAGAUAUGACACAGAACACCGAUUGCGAAGGCAGCUUGCUAAGCUGUAACUGACGCUGAGGCACGAAAGCGUGGGGAGCAAACA